UACGUAGGGUGCGAGCGUUAAUCGGAAUUACUGGGCGUAAAGCGUGCGUAGGCGGUUGGCAAAGUCAGCUGUGAAAGCCCCGGGCUCAACCUGGGAAUGGCGAUGGAUACUGGCUCGCUAGAGUGCGGUAGAGGAGAGUGGAAUUCCCGGUGUAGCAGUGAAAUGCGUAGAGAUCGGGAGGAACAUCAGUUGCGAAGGCGGCUCUCUGGACCAGCACUGACACUGAGGCACGAAAGCGUGGGGAGCAAACAGG
rnacentral:rRNA from 1 species